rnacentral:tmRNA from 1 species
GGGGGUGUUCCGGAAUUCGACUUAUGGUUGUAGGCCAUGCUUGCAUGUCGGAGAUGAUACUUGGCUCCGUAAAAAUGUAUCACACAAAACAAUAAAUGGCGAAGAAUACGCUAUUGCUGCUUAAUUAACGCGGCACGUCGGCCCGCCGACUCCCAAUAAGCGGAAUCCGGCGUCGACAUUGGGAACAGGGGUCGUUGGUACUUGUCCGGAUUAACGGCCGCCACAUUGCGGACAAUGCAUUCGGGACGGUAGCCGUAUCCCAAGCCCGAAUAAAGCACAAAGUACGGCUACACAUGUAGACAGUAUGCCCGAAGGCGAUAAGGACAGGGGUUCAACUCCCCUCACCUCCACCA